GAUGAACGCUACGCGUACAGGCUUAACACAUGCAAGUCGAGGGGCAGCAGUGGUCUUAGCUUGCUAAGGCCGAUGGCGACCGGCGCACGGGUGAGUAACACGUAUCCAACCUGCCGUCUACUCUUGGACAGCCUUCUGAAAGGAAGAUUAAUACAAGAUGGCAACAUGAGUCCGCAUGUUCACAUGAUUAAAGGUAUUCCGGUAGACGAUGGGGAUGCGUUCCAUUAGAUAGUUGGUGGGGUAAAGGCUUACCAAGGCGACGAUCAGUAGCCGAGCUGAGAGGCUCAACGGCCACAUUGGGACUGAGAUACGGCCCAG
rnacentral:rRNA from 1 species